AGCGAAUCAACUCUUCUACAAACGUUAAUGUUCUAAGAUAAUACAUGUGAUCAAAUCUGAACUGUGUUUGCUCAGCGGCGUACAUUCCGUUUGUGGAAUCCAGUUAAAACUACUCACUUACACAUGUAGACCUUACCCUUUAGUCGAUAACCCCUCUCUUAUACGUAUAACGUGUAUGUGAAUUUGGAAAUCUUCCAUGAAAUCAGCAAAAAGUUUCGCAAUGGUCCAGUGAAAACAUUCUACUAUGAACUCUUCUGAAUACGGUAAUGGGCGAUUCAUGUAAACAUUGCAUCUCCUUGAGGGAGAUUGUCAGUGUAAUCAGUUAUCACCUGUGUACAUGGAGUUUAGACCGACGUAUUCUACAUAGUUAUUGUAAAACACUCUGUAGAGUGGCACAUGCACUAUUCCACAGCAGGAAAUAGAUACUGGUCAAAGAAACUUACAACAGUAGCGCAGAUGGAUAAAAAACGGAGAGCAAUACAAUGCCAGUAUUGUGAAAAAGAGCCUGCUGUCUUCUUUUGUGUUCCCUGCUCAGACGAUAUCUGCGAGGGCUGUAAAGUGUUCCACCUUAAAAGCAAUGUAUCCUCAGG